rnacentral:pre_miRNA from 1 species
AAUAAACCAAUUUUUCACUUUUUACCUAUAAUUUUUGACUCUUCGUCUUAUUUAAAUUUUUUUACGAUUGAUAUUUUUGUUUUUAUUAGAUGAUAAAUCAUAAAUAGUACUUUAUGUGUGACUAAUUUUUUUCUAAUUUUCUGAAAAAAAUUUAAAUAAGACGAAUAGUCAAACGUUGGACACAAAAAACCGGAG